UACGGAGGGGGCUAGCGUUGUUCGGAAUUACUGGGCGUAAAGCGCACGUAGGCGGCUUUGUAAGUUAGAGGUGAAAGCCCGGGGCUCAACUCCGGAAUUGCCUUUAAGACUGCAUCGCUCGGAUUGUGGAGAGGUAAGUGGAAUUCCGAGUGUAGAGGUGAAAUUCGUAGAUAUUCGGAAGAACACCAGUGGCGAAGGCGACUUACUGGACACAUAUUGACGCUGAGGUGCGAAAGCGUGGGGAGCAAACAGG
rnacentral:rRNA from 1 species